UAAAGGAAGGCGGAGAUGAGCGAGCGGAGGCAAACCGAGAGAUCUCAUCAACAGCUCUGUUGCUUUCUUGGUUUCCGGAAGCUUCUCCUCUCUCUCGGUCUCUCCGCUCCAUCUUUCUUCGGCUUCUCUCUUGGUUUCGAUCGGUGAUUUCUCAUCUUUGUUGUCUUCUUUUUGGGGAUUGGGUGGUUGAGAUCUGGAAGUUCUGCGUGUUCGGUUGGAUCCCGUAAGGGUUUUCGUUCUUGAACCGGUUUGCUUGAUCUUAGGGUGUACGGGUUGUUGAUCUUUGGAAUUUGAUCGAACGCUCUCUCUUGUCUCUUUGUUAAUUUUGGGUCUCGGAUUCUUGUUUCUUUAUCUUCCUUUUCCGGAUUCCAUUUCAUGAGGAAUCUUUUUUGGUGGUUUGAGGGUUUCCAAAGAAUCUUGGGUCGAUGGAACUCCAAGUUUACAGAUCGCAUGCGUUAAGACUGUGGAUUAUGAUGAGAUUUGUGGGUUCCAGCGUUCUUGCGUGGGCGUCGUUGGUUGACAACGAGAGAGAGCACGCCGGUUCGCAAGCUAUGGCGGCGGCCAUGGUUGUGCACUAGCGUGCUCCUUCUCGUUGUCACACACGGUCGCCUCACAAGGCAGCUUCUCCUGCUCGCCCUCUUUUUCUUCCUUGGUACGUUUUGAUCGAUUCACGCUUAAUUCUUUAGCUCCCUCUUAUUCAUGUUGUUGUUCGUUUUCUUCAGUUAUGUUUGUGUUAAGAAUUAGGCAAACUCAUCAAAAUAACGACAAAGAAUAGGGCCAUCUUACGUGCUGGUUUUAUCUCCUGGAGAUCAGUCUUGUUAGUGAUAGUUUACUCGUUCGCUCUAAUACGUAUUGUUCUUCCGUUGAGUUUGUAUUGUGGUGUCUUAGGCUAAGGAAUGUCUGAGUUAGGUAAACAGUGCAAAUUAUUGUCAUCAUAUCUAGUUGAUAUUUCAUGAAUGACAUGUAACUUUAGAAGAUUCGGUGGUAAGUAUGGAACAAAAAAGAUUUGUUUCAUUACAGAUAUUUACAUUCUGGUAUUAGUCCUCUGCGCUUAGUCUUGUUGGUGGCGGUAUGGUUUCCUUAAUGAUGCAUUUGUUCUUCGAUUGUGAUAGACAGAACCAAGAACUGAUAUCUUGUAUUACUAGUUAUGAAUAUUCUUAUUCACAGUAUAAGAUAUUUUGAAGAAAGAAAGCUGGCAAAGGUUUAAGGUUGUCUAUUAUGAAUUUCUGCCUUUGGUUAUAAAUUGGAGAGCCACAAUUGAUAUGUUUAUGCUACCUCGGGAAUACUGGGAUGCUGUUUUCUACUAGGUUGGAUGGUGGUUAUUGUCUUAGUCAUGUUAUCAAACUACAUUAUCAUAAAAUUAAAAAGAUUCAAGUCCAUUUGCAGAAAGCACCAACAGUGAUGCUUAUAUUGAGCGAGGAAAACCCAGAUCCAUCUAUUUUUUUUGUUUGUCUAUAUAAAGAGAUUAUGCAUACUUUUGUAUGGACAUAUCGAGGGAAGGAAGGAAGGAAUAAGAGAGCGGCAAGACAUAUUUUGUUGAACUUCAACACAAAGUUUCAAACCCAAUCAUCCCAAUCAGCAGCGCAAAAGGUCUACCUGGCGCAGAUAUAUAUUUUAGCAGCUUUGAACGUUGUUUUUGUUCAUAUUAUCAUCCUUGCUACAAGUUUUGACUUAACCAUUCCUGAAGUCAAGGAUUUUGCUUAUUGUUAUAGUCUUUACUAAUCUAUUUUUUACUUUCAUAACCUUUUCAUUGAAUUUGACAAUUGUAAUUAAAUAAUUAGCUUUGUUCAAUUUGCAAAAUACACACAUGACAAACAAAUACAGGAAAUGCCUAACAAAUGGAUUGUUUACAGAUUAUAUAACAUUACAAGUCUCAAGGAUUAAUGUGCAAGUACAUGUUUUUCAAAUGCAUAACCAUUUUGAUUGUGUUGUUUCUUCUUUGAUGUAUUUACCUAUGUAUGCUUUGACCUUGGAUCUUGCUUAUUUGGAUAUCUUGGAUAGUAACUUAAGAUUACAGUACCAAAAGCCAAAAACCCAACUGUUCAACGUAGACAUUAUUGUCACAGAAAAGAAAUUUUGGAUCAUAGGAAUUAUCUAACUGUUCAACGUAGACAUUAUUGUCUAAUAACUAAUCUAAUGGUGCAUUGUAGGUUUUUCCCUCCUUUUAUGAAACAAAUAACUUUUGCGGGUUUUUACAUCUCCAAUAGUUGAAUAACAUCUUAAACUGAGUUAUCAAAUGGCAAGGCUGCCAACUGUCCUUGGAGAUAAUGAUAUUCUUUGAUGUGAGAUUGAAACUCUGAGAUAAGAUGAGUUCGAGGGUGAUGAGGCGGCUAAGAAGCUAUUAACAUGGACCUUAACAUGUUGGUGAAAUGGUCACUGUUGUCACUACAUCCCAAAUAAUGGUUGGUGAGAAGGGAAAGGUCUAUGAUGAUCAAUUGGAGCAGGGAUGCGACCUUGCUAAUAUUGUUGCCGUGGUUAGAAGUUGACCUGCCUCUGCCAUAAUGCACAUUGUGUGCAUGUGGUGGUCAUUGUUGAUGACGAUAUAAUUGAGAACGAGCUAGAACACUAGACUAGGUCACCUAGGUUCAGUUCACGACCUUUAUGUAUAUGUCUGAUUGAGCUUUUAUUCAUAAGAAUUGUCAGUCUAGGACUGAUUCCUUGUGUGCUGGCUCACAUUUACCUCCUUACUGUCACUGAUUUUGCUUUUCCAGACAAAAUUGCCUACGUAAAUGAUUUGCAAUAGCUAGGUAUCGUGCGUUUUAUAAUUUUGACUUAAUUUUUUUAUUUCAACUAUAUUGCAAAUUUUGGUAAUCCUGUUAUACCAAUCUAGUGUUUCCCACUGCCAUAACUGCUGCUGAUAUUGAUGUUAGGCAUAUGAAUCUUAGUUUUAAUCAUCUUUAUUAAAGGCAUGAUGAUGAAAUAAAUGCAUAGGUAGGCAAUGAGUUAUCUAGGCCAAAUGUCCUAAACAAACUCAGUGAUCACAUAGUUCAUUUUAAAAGUUGAAUACAAAAGACUUAACAAUACCUUUUUUUUUUGUAAUCCAGAUUGUUGAAGUCGUGUUAAGAUUCCUUCCUAAACUUGAAGAAUGGCUGAUUCGAUGUAUCCGCAUUAUGUAAAUACAUUGUGUAAAGAAUAACAAAAGAGUCCCCAUAAAAAAUGCUUCAAAAACAGAAGAUUAAAAGAGGUUUAGAUUCAGACUCGUGGCUUAUCCUGGAUUCAGCUAGACCUAACUUUGACCCAAUCCUUUGAUCUUUACUUGCACAGUGAUGUGAAAAGAGAUCCAUAGUAGUUGCAAACGAAGGUUUAAUUUUGUUGUUCAACAUGAAACAAGUAAGGCCAUUAUGUGUAGGUGCAAAUGUGUAUUUUAUUAUAUAGGUUAUAAAAACGUGGAGUUUAUGUUAACAGACUAUCUGUGAAGUUCACUUCUUGCUAUAAGUGCACGUUGUUGAAUUUUGAGGUAGAGGUAUCAUUGCUGAUAAUUGAGAAGAUUAAGAUCGCCAUAGACGAUUAAUGGAGUAGGUCUAGUUGGAUCAUGUAUAGGAUUCGGAUUGUAAUAUUCUUUUUGAUUCCUGGAAAAACCUGAAUAUUUACAAAGUCAGGAGAAAGUAGGGAACACGAACUGGUUUUAGAAUUUAGAUGAUUGGAAUGAAAACCAUAAAAAAAGGGAAAAAAAUUUAAAUGGAAGUUUGAAAGAUGGCCUUGAUGCUUGUAAAUAUAUUAUUUCUCACUUUAGUUUCUCGACUCAUUUUGUUAUUGACCAAAAGGCAUAAUAUAUUGUUAGUAUCGAGUUAGAAUUAUAGCAAAGCCUUUUUGACCAAUAAUCAUCCUCAAAUACCUUGGUUCCAUUUUAGGUUGUGAAUAUGGCUUUAGAGAUAUUUAAGAGUUUUUUUUUUGGCAGUUAGAAUUUCAAAAUGUGAUGAUUUAUGAUUUAUAUUGAAGUGCAUUGCUUUAAUGUCUGGGAAUGAUGCUGCUAGCAAAUACUUGAAUCUAGGUAUUGCAGGACAUCUGGAGCUUCAAAUAAUGAAAGGACAAAGGAAUCAUUUAAUUCUUAACCAAAGUCCAGGAUGUCGGAAGUUCAAACGUGCAAAAUUUUACUAUUUGGCAGGGUUCGUCAGACAAGUUCCAAAAGAUCGGGGAAGUAUUUUUAAUGUUUUCUUAUAGCACUUGAUAACUUUAAAUCAUAGCUUGUUCAGGCCUAACUUAUUAUUGUUUCUCAUGGAAGGAAGCCUGGUUUCAUUUUUUCUGAAAUGCAGCUGGAGAUUUGAACAAUGGUUUUACUUUGUUUGAUUUUUCUUGUAAUAAAUGAAUUUUGUUAUUCUCA